ensembl:lncRNA
AAAAUAACAAGUAGCCACCUCAGUGUGACAAUAUCCGGUCAAUAGUAGAGAAUUUAAUCCUUGGUCCUAUAAAAGAAUAAAAUUCAUUGUCAUAUUUAUAGUACGUAAGCCUCAAGUAACAGGUCUUAAUGUUAGUGUUGGUGUUGUGGUUUCUACGGAACAUUUACAAGUGAAGUUGGAUUCUCCUGGGCUUUAAAUCCUAAAAAGUCUUAAUGACCACUUCAUGUAGUUCCCCUCUUAUUCUCCUGUGGUCUCCUCAGAGCCAGUGUGUGCUGGGAAAGAGUAUUAGUUAUAGCCUGGCUUUAUAGAAUCCAGGAGGUCCUUUUAGCUGAAACGAGCAGCUUCAAAAGGGAACAUGAAACAGUGAAAAGAUAGCCAAAGGUCAGUGAAACCACAGCAUUUCUUUCUAAUCUGGCUGAGGCCAUGGAGGGGAAUGAAGGGAAAAUAUGCUUCCAGGCCAAGGUCACUGAGGGGGACCUUAGGAUUUGUGUCCUCCCCAGUGCUUAGAGUAGAGAUAUCUGCAAAUUCAUGGCAAACAGUUGGAAGAGUUACUUAACUGAAACAACCCAGUCUUACUUUCUUUUGUAAGUUGAUCCUCUGAUUUAUUGGGGGGUUCAGGCUCUCCUCAAUAGAAGGUCAAAGUUGGACAGGUGGACUAAGGUCAAGGAUGAGGAGUCUGCGGUGGGGACUACCACAGCAAACUGUCUUCCUUCUGUGGAGUCCUAACUCAGUCAUGUGGUCCACUUGCCCAGGGGCCUGGGGGCUCAGACAAACCCCAUGGGGAACAUGCUGCCAUGCACUGUCUCUUGUAAAUGUAGUUGGGUAGGGAUCCCGAGGGUAUUUGCUCUUUCCAAAUGCAGAACUUCUAUCCACUUUAUCUGGUGAUCUGAUGAACAGCACGGGGACGUGGAGGUGAAAUAAGCAUCUUUCAGAAUAAUGUUUUUUUUUCCUCUUCCAGAACCAAAGGCUUUAGAUAUUUGUGGAACUUUCUGGAUUCCUUCCGAAUCAGGUUUACAUAAAAAACCAUCAACACAUCAUGGGAAAGGAGCUGUUUCAUGACACACAUCACGUGUUUCUUGCUCUCACUGAGGAAAUGUGUUGUACAAAAGCACCAAAUAAGGGCACCCUGGAAGUGACAUGUGUGUUUCUUCUAAGUGGUUUUUAGUGCAUCCCCUGGGAUUGCAGAUGCUCAUGUGGCUUUUAGGGAAAGGCAGAAUGUGCUAGAAGUCGAAGUCAUUCAAUAUUCAGUGCUUACUGUUACUUGGAACCGGAUAAUCUCAGUUCUUUGUUCAGUCUUUCCCAAAGACCUUACAAAGGAGAUGUGUAAAUAGAUAGAUUUUGAGACUAAUAAGUCACAGAAAUGGAAAAUUUUAGAGCAGUUUGUGUCACUUAGGUGAGAACUGAUUACUUUAAAUUACCAACAUGUGCGAAUUCUACUUAGUAUUCAUUAUUAGAUGCUGAGCUGGAAAAGAUGAGAAACCCAAGGAGAACUAUUGAAUUACCACAUAAUUGUAAUAUUAUGCUUUCAUUUUAAUUUUGUAUGGGCAGUGUUCUAUCAGACUAAGCUUCUAGCCUUUGAAAUGAUUUACAUGAGGAGAGAGCCUGUAUAUCUGACUUGAGAAACAUUAAGCAGACCCUAUUUUCACCGUCGCGGUAAUAACUAUUUAUUUGCUAUCCUAGAGGUGCUGGGAAUGAGCCUCCGGGUGACUUUGAUGAGAUAUAUUCACAUUUGGUAUUGGAACGACCACAUAGCAACGUGUUGGGUUUUUUUUAUUGUAACACUCUGUGUAAAUGUUGGCACCUUAUUAAAUAUUAAAUGUUUGAACUCUAUUUUUAAAAAUAAAAUAAGCACAGAAUCCGCAACAA